rnacentral:lncRNA from 12 species
GACAGCUCCUUAGAGCCAGUGUGGGUUAAGUUUGGUGUUUUCAGGAGCUGGGUGCAUCAUGAAAAUGUAUACUGUCUGCAUUUGGGCAUUCAUACUCAUGGAAACACAGAGGGAGAGGCAGGAGAAGAGGAAGAUGUGUAAGGCUAGGGCAGGGCAAGGCAAAGAGGGAAGUUUCAGGGAAGGGAAGGGAAGGGAAGUUUCAGGGAAGUUUCAGGGAAGUUUCAGGGAAGUUUCAGGGAAGUUUCAGGGAAGUUUCAGGGAAGGGAAGGGAAGGGAAGGGAAGGGAAGGGACGAAGCCGAAAUUAAGAAAAUUAAAAGGGAAAAUUAAAAUGGGAGGAAAAGGAGAGGGUAAAAGAUUAAAAUGGUGACAGGAAAAAAGGGUUAAGGGGAAGAAGGAAGCAGGAGGGCAAAAAGAAUGAAGAAAAAAAAGGAAAAAUAAAAGGAAAAAAACAAAAGAAGAAAGGGACCACUGAGAUUUUUCUAAUGUAUCUGGAACAUGGCCAAAACCAUGCAGAGAUUGUAG